rnacentral:rRNA from 1 species
AACUUUUAACAAUGGAUCUCUAGGCUCUCAUAUCGAUGAAGAACACAGUGAAAUGUGAUAAGUAAUGUGAAUUGCAGAAUUCAGUGAAUCAUUGAAUCUUUGAACGCACCUUGCACCUUUUGGUAUUCCAAAAGGUACACCUGUUUGAGUGUCAUGAAAA